UAAACCACCUAUCUUUACUAGUUGAUUCAGUUUAGGCUAGUUCUUCUACCUUCUGCUCUGUUCUCUACCUCCAAGGUCCUAUCUGUCUCUUCUCGUUUCACCGAAGACAACGAGUGGUGACCACAUCACGAACUGCGCCGCUGUGGCCAACUCCUAUUUGAGGGGUUGCUGCCAUUGAGGUGAACACAUUACUGCAUCGCCCCCAAUCAGUCCAUGGUCUGAUCCUCGUAGGGGAUGAUGCAGGACAAGCCCAACCACGAUGAGAGCCAUCUUGUGGCUGUUGCACAAAUCGGACGCUGCCACCCAAAUCCAUCGCAAUGAUGGUUUCCUUGCAAUGGAGGUGCUCCAGCAACAUCACAUAUUCACAUCUAAAUUCAUGUCGUGGUAGUUGAGCUCGAGCUUUACCUCCACUUGGCAAUGGGGAAUUUCUUCUGCCCUUAUCUUCUUUAUUUCUGUCAAGUGCAACCAAGGUCCUUAGGCCAUUUUUCAAUCACAUGGCAUUGAUGCUGGUGCUGGCGGAGUUCCAGCGCAAGCACGGCACUGGCAGGUGGCUGCUCAACCUGCUCACUUGUAGUGGUGGUUCUUGUUGGAAUUAAUGGAUGGGCCUUAGUCCACUCGAAGAUUAAUUCUUUGGAAAAUUACAAAAGCCCACCUCAUGGGAUAACAUGCAUGUGGAGUUUAGUACCACCUUGCUUAUUCUAGGAGAGGGGGACCUUCUUAAAAGGGAGGAUGCCCUCCUAGCCACUUGAAACAUGUGUGGUGGAGAGAAGAGGGGGAACACGCGCGUGCUCGCUCGCCUCGCCUAGCAGGGCAGGCGGCGCGCGUGCACGACGUUACGCGUCAAAUUCGGUUACGCGCAGUGGAGAUCGUGCAGGCGCCCUGAUCAAGCGACCCUUCUUUAUAUAAACCGACCCGCCGUCUUCACGCAACACACGCGAAAUCAAUCUAGGGUUUGCCUCCUACUCUGUGCUGCGCCGUCGCUCGUAGAUUACUCCAUCCCGCUCACCGGCGUGCAUCGGCGAUCGGGAGAGCAGGUCUCCGGAACCUCUGCCUUCGACGUCCCUGCACGCCGGCGAUCGGGAGAGCAGGUCUCCGGAACCUCUGCCUUCGACGUCCUGCACAGCCGGUCUUUCUACCACCUCGGUACAUGUUUAAUAUGUUGCGCAUAUUUGAUCUGUUCAUGUUUUACUGCUUAGUUUACAUGUGUAGAUCUAAUGAUGCGUUAAUGCUAGUAUACAUCUGCAAUGCCAUGAUUUAUUUAUGAAAUAUAUUAAAUCAUUAUAUGCUUAUAAUCUCAACAAUCCAAAAACCUUAUUAUAGGCACUGUGAUUUUACUAUGGCUGGUUUUGCCGAUGCACUGAGGCCGGAUAAAUUCACCGGUGUGCACUUUAAGAGAUGGCAGAUCAGGGUCACUCUGUGGCUGACAGCUAUGAAAUGUUUCUGGGUGAGUACUGGCAAACCUGAAGGAGUUCUUACUACUGAACAGCAGAAGCAAUUCGAGGAAGUCACUACUCUCUUUGUGGGAUGCAUUCUUAUCGUUCUUGGCGAUCGUCUGGUCGAGGUGUAUAUGCAUAUGACCGACGCUAAGGAGUUGUGGGAUGCACUGAAUACUAAAUUCGGUGCUACUGAUGCUAGCAAUGAUCUGUAUAUCAUGGAGCAGUUUCACGACUACAAGAUGGCUGACAACCGUUCUGUAGUCGAACAGGCUCAUAAGAUACAAACCAUGGCUAAGGAAUUCGAACUCCUUAAGUGUGUCUUACCCGACAAAUUUGUGGCCGGGUGCAUUAUUGCGAAACUUCCUCCAUCUUGGAGAAGUUUCGGUACUGCACUCAAACACAAUUUGAGUCUAUGAACCAUAUUUAUGGCAGUGUGGAUGAUGAGGCUAAUGUCUGGCACUCACGUUUAUGUCAUAUUAAUUUUGGCUUGAUGUCUCGACUUUCCAGCAUGUGUUUAAUUCCUAAGUUUUCCAUUGUCAAAGGUUCUAAGUGCCAUAGUUGUGUGCAAUCAAAGCAACCUUGCAAGCCUUACAAGGCUGCUGAGGAGAGAAACUUGGCACCUCUAGAACUCUUACAUUCAGAUCUUUGUGAAAUGAAUUAGGUGUUGACGAAGGGUGGAAAACGAUAUUUCAUGACGUUGAUUGAUGAUGCUACUAGAUUUUGCUAUGUGUACUUGUUGAAAAUGAAAGACGAGGCUCUAGACUAUUUUAAAAUUUAUAAGGCAGAAGUUGAAAAUCAACUUGAUAGAAAGAUAAAAAGACUUAGGUCUGAUCGUGGUGGAGAGUUUUUCUCAAACGAGUUUGACUUAUUCUGUGAGGAACAUGACAUUAUACAUGAGAGGACGCCUCCCUAUUCUCCUGAGUCUAAUGGGAUUGCUGAAAGGGAGAACCGCACACUGACUGACUUGGUGAAUGCCAUGUUGGACACACUUGGUGAAUGCCAUGUUGGACACCGCGGGACUACCUAAGGCAUGGUGGGGAGAGGCAUUGCUGACCUCGAAUCAUGUGUUAAACAGAGUUCCUAACAGAAAUAAGGACAAAACACCAUAUGAAAUAUGGAUUGGGAGAAAACCAUCACUUUCUUUCUUGCGCACAUGGGGGUGCUUGGCGAAAGUCAAUGUACCAAUAACGAAGAAGCGCAAACUUGGACCUAAGACUGUGGACUGUGUCUUUCUGGGAUAUGCUCACCACAGCAUUGCCUAUAGAUUUUUAAUAGUUAAAUCUGAGGUACCUGACAUGCAUGUUGGUACAAUUAUGGAGUCUCGUGAUGCUACCUUUUUCCCAACGAAGGAUACACAUAGUAGUUCUAGUCAACCUUCUGAAAUAAUUGCCAAUUCAAUCACACCACCAGAACAAACUGAACAUACACAUGAACAUGUCACUAAGGAGGAUGACAGUGAAGCUCCUCGAAGGAGUAAAAGACAAAGGACGGCUAAGUCCUUUGGUGAUGAUUUCACUGUGUACCUCGUGGACGACACUCCUAAGUCAAUUUCAGAAGCAUAUGCAUCUCCUGAUGCAGACUACUGGAAGGAGGCUGUCCGUAGUGAAAUGGAUUCCAUUAUCGCUAACGGGACUUGGGAAGUGAUAAAGCGACCCUAUGGAUGUAAACCUGUGGGGUGCAAGUGGGUGUUCAAGAAGAAGUUUAGGCCUGAUGGUACUAUUAAAAAGUACAAGGCUCGACUUGUUGCUAAGGGCUAUACUCAGAAAGAAGGCGAAGAUUUCUUUGACGCUUACUCACCUGUUGCUAGAUUGACCACAAUUCGUGUGCUACUUUCCCUAGCAGCCUCACAUGGUCUUCUCGUUCAUCAAAUGGACGUUAAAAACAGCUUUUCUUAAUGGAGAGCUGGAUGAGGAGAUCUAUAUGGAUCAACCUGAUGGGUUUGUAGAUGAAGGUCAAGAAGGCAAAGUGUGCAAAUUGUUGAAGUCUUUGUAUGGUCUGAAACAAGCUCCUAAGCAAUGGCAUGAGAAAUUUGAUAGAACAUUGACAUCUGCAGGCUUCGCAGUCAAUGAGGCAGAUAAAUGUGUAUACUAUCGCCAUGGUGGGGGUGAGGGAGUUAUUCUGUGCUUGUAUGUUGAUGACAUACUGAUAUUUGGGACAAAUCUUGAGGUAAUAAAUGAGGUUAAAUUAUUCUUGUCUCAAAAAUUUGAUAUGAAGGAUUUGGGAGUAGCUGAUGUUAUCCUAAACAUCAAGCUAAUUAGAGGUGAGAAUGUGAUUACACUCUUGCAGUCCCAUUAUGUGGAGAAGAUCUCGAAUCGCUUUGGCUACAUUGAUAGUAAGCCUUCUCCAACACCUUAUGAUCCUAGCUUGUUGCUUCGCAAGAACAAGAGAAUUGCUAGGAAUCAACUGGAAUACUACCAAAUCAUUGGCUCGCUGAUGUACCUGGCUAGUGCAACUAGGCCUGAUAUCUCCUUUGCUGUGAGCAAGUUGAGCCGGUUUACCUCUAAUCCAGGAGAUGAUCACUGGCGUGCGCUUGAGCGAGUAAUGCGCUAUCUGAAAGGUACUAUGGAAUUGGGGCUUCACUAUUCUAGGUACCCUGCGGUACUGGAAUGAUAUAGUGAUUCUAACUGGAUCUCUGAUGUGGAUGAGAUCAAAGCCACUAGUGAAUAUGUCUUCACACUAGGUGGUGGUGCUGUUUCGUGGAGAUCUUGCAAACAGACCAUUUUGACGAGGUCAACCAUGGAAGCGGAGUUGACGGCACUGGAUACUGCUACUGUUGAGGCAGAAUGGCUGCGUGAUCUAUUAAUGGAUCUGCCUAUUGUUGAAAAACCGGUGCCGGCUAUCCUUAUGAACUGUGACAAUCAAACGGUAAUUGUCAAAGUGAAUAGUUCUAAGGAUAAUAUGAAAUCGUCUAGACAUGUGAAAAGACGAUUGAAGUCUGUCAGGAAAUUGAGAAACUCCGGAGUUAUAACGUUGGAUUACAUCCAAACAACUAGAAACCUGGCAGAUCCCUUCACGAAGGGACUAUCACGAAAUGUGAUAGACAAUACAUCGAAGGAGAUGGGUUUGAGACCCAUGUGAGUUAUACUAUGGUGGUAACCCAGUCUAUGUGAUCGGAGAUCCCGUAAAUUAGAUCCUGGGAAGAACAAACCAUUAGUAAACUAGAGGAGAGUACCAAUAUAUACCCUCUCUAAGUGAAGAUGCAUGUACUCUCGUGAGCUGCAAGGCAGGUUGGCUAUACCUUAAUGAGUUCUGUUGGCUUUAAUUAGCGAAGAUGCUGUCCUGCAGAGCAUUCUUGAAAGAACUCACCUUUGUGAGCUUGACUGUUGGUCGCAGUCUAUGAAGAUUUUGGGUGAAUCUUCUAGGAAGCUUACUAAAGACCUAGGAGUAUGACUUAUACGCUCCACCCGAGGGGUAGUGUACAGACGAUCUAGUACCAGAUAAGACUUUGAGUGAAACUUGCUUGCACAAGACUUGCAAUUCAAGGCGUAGUCCAUUGUUCAAGUUGUGAGUAAGUGUAGCUUGGAGUUCUAGAUGGAUGUUCAACCUUAAUCGGUCUCCAUCGAACCGCUGGUAUAUAAACAGUACAUUGGUAAAGGCAAAUCUCAGUGGGAUUUUGACAUUUGGUGGGGGAUUGUUGGAAUUAAUGGAUGGGCCUUAGCCCACUCGAAGAUUAAUUCUUUAGAAAAUCACAAAAGCCCACCUCAUGGGAUGGCAUGCAUGUGGAGUUUAGUACCACCUUGCUUAUUCUAG
rnacentral:lncRNA from 1 species